AUCAUCAUUAUUGCUGUCAUCAAUUGCCUGUGAGGGGCAUUGGCCUGAGGCUGUUUCCUACUCUCUCCUUGAGCCUUUAUGGAUAUAUUUUGGAUAAAUGGACCUAGACCAACAUGGCAAAAGUCUGAACACAGAGGCUAAGUUUUUCACUCAGGAACCAGCUCCAGGGUUCCUUCGUUCUUCCUGAAAGUCUUGGACCCUCAGCAUCCUUCCCUAGACUACUCUGUGGCCUAGAUUCUGGGCUGCUUUGUGUGGGAAAGCUGGUGGCAGAUCAUGGAAAGACGGCCCAUCAUAGAACCAAACACACGUGAUCACAGGCAUGACGCAAAACAAUGAAGCUUGGUACCUUCCUCUCGCCACAGGAUGUUUGCAACUGCAGCAGCAGAGAAUGAGGAAAGCAGGAGUGUGAUGGAGUCAAGGAAAAAGAAGAAAGCAGUGUUAAACCGUCACUGCAGUGAUUCCAUUUAUGAAGAUCCUGGUACCUAGUCCAUCACUUACAGAAUCUAUACCACUCAUUGCCCUAGGAACAGUAUCUUGGGGGAAGCUCUGGACAUGAACAAAUGCUUUCAG
rnacentral:lncRNA from 1 species